rnacentral:rRNA from 1 species
UUAAGGAUCUUGAGAUCUGCAGCCGAAGCGAAAGCGAGUCUUAAUAGGGCGGAUAGUCGGAAGGAGUAGACGCGAAACCAAGUGAUCUACCCUUGGGCAGGUUGAAGGAUGGGUAACACCAUCUGGAGGACCGAACCAAUAAGCGUUGAAAAGCUUCUGGAUGACCUGAGGGUGGGGGUGAAAGGCUAAUCAAACUUGGAGAUAGCUCGUACUCCCCGAAAUGCAUUUAGGUGCAGCCUUGACUUAUACUGGCAUGAGGUAGAGCGACUGAUAAGAUGCGAGGGCUUCACCGCCUAUCAAGUCUUGACAAACUCCGAAUGCGCAUCAGUUCUACCGCAGGAGUGAGGGCAUGGGUGCUAAGGUCCGUGCCCGAGAGGAGAAGAAUCCGGACCACCUGCUAAGGUCCCGAAAUGACAGCUAAGUUAAACUAACGAAGUCUGACUGCUAAGACAGCUAGGAUGUUGGCUUGGAAGCAGCCAUUCAUUUAAAGAGUGCGUAACAGCUCACUAGUCGAGGAGUCGGGCGUGGAUAAUAAUCGGGUAUUAAGUUGUCUACCGAAGCAGUGGGAUCAUUUAUAUGAUCGGUAGGGGAGCAUUCCAGUCAGCGUCGAAGGCGUACCGUGAGGUAUUCUGGAGCGUCUGGAAAAGCAAAUGUAGGUAUAAGUAACGAUAAAGGGGGCGGGAAACCCCCUCGCCGAAAGACUAAGGUUUCCUGAUCAACGCUAAUCGGAUCAGGGUCAGUCGGGUCCUAAGGCUCAGCCGAACGGCGAGGCCGAUGGCAGAACCGGUUAAUAUUCCGGUACUACCUGUGGGAGUGACGUGGAGACGGAGUCGUGACAGCGCCGCGGACUGACGGAAUAGUCCGUUGAAGGGUGUAGAUGCUGAUUGUUCCAGGCAAAUCCGGAGCAAGAGUCGAACCUGACAGUAUGGAGCGUUCUUAGAACAAUCCAAUAGUGCGUGUAAUCAUACUUCCAAGAAAAUCCGCUAAACUUAAUCUUUAAGGUACCCGUACCGUAAACGGACACACGUAGUCGGGUUGAAUAUACUAAGGCGCUUGAGUGAUUCACGGUUAAGGAACUAGGCAAAUUGACCCUGUAACCUCGGGAAAAAGGGUCCCCAGUAAGAUGGGGCGCAGAGAAUAGGUCCAGGCAACUGUUUAACAAAAACACAGGGCUGUGCAAAAUUGAAAGAUGAAGUAUACAGCCUGACACCUGCCCGGUGCUGGAAGGUUAAGAGGAGAUGUCAUCGCAAGAGAAGCAUUGAAUUGAAGCCCCAGUAAACGGCGGCCGUAACUAUAACGGUCCUAAGGUAGCGAAAUUCCUUGUCGGGUAAGUUCCGACCUGCACGAAUGGUGUAAUGAUCUGGACGCUGUCUCAACCGUGAGCUCAGUGAAAUUGUAGUAUCGGUGAAGAUGCCGAUUACCCGCGAUGGGACGAAAAGACCCCGUGAACCUUUACUAUAGCUUAACAUUGAAUUUGGGUAAUUGAUGUGUAGGAUAGGCCGGAGGCUUUGAAGCAGGUACGCCAGUAUUUGUGGAGCCGCUGUUGAAAUACGGCCCUUUGAUUAUUUGAGUUCUAACCCGCUGCUGCGGGGACACUGUUUGGUGGGUAGUUUGACUGGGGUGGUCGCCUCCAAAAGCGUAACGGAGGCUUCUAAAGGUGCCCUCACGACGAUUGGUAACCGUCGGCAGAGUGUAAUGGCAUAAGGGCGCUUGACUGGGAGACUAACAAGUCGAUCAGGUAGGAAACUAGAGCAUAGUGAUCCGGUGGUUCCGCAUGGAAGGGCCAUCGCUCAAAGGAUAAAAGGUACUCCGGGGAUAACAGGCUGAUCCCUCCCAAGAGCUCAUAUCGACGGAGUGGUUUGGCACCUCGAUGUCGGCUCGUCACAUCCUGGGGCUGGAGAAGGUCCCAAGGGUUGGGCUGUUCGCCCAUUAAAGUGGCACGCGAGCUGGGUUCAGAACGUCGUGAGACAGUUCGGUCUCUAUCUAUCGUGGGCGUAUGAAAUUUGCGUGGCUCUGACACUAGUACGAGAGGACCGUGUUGGACUGACCUCUGGUUUACCGGUUGUGCCGCCAGGUGCAU